AUUAACAGUUUUAUUGGGUACAGUGAGUCAUACAUGCCAUGGCUCUUACAGGGAUUUUUGGUCUUUCAUCCGCCGACCAGACAUGUCAUUUUUGGCAUAACUUUGACAAUUUCCUCUGUAGAGCUUCCCACACUUUAGACCCCACAUGACCACCUUUCUUGAUCCUCUCACCUCACAGAUCCAAGAAACUGUUAUUCAGUUGUUAUCCCAAUAACCACAAGCUUAGCAUAAUCUGUGUGCCACACAGCCAGAGAGUUGUGUGCAUUGUGACCAGCCAGCCCAAGCCCCAUGAAUAGUGGGGCUUUAUUUGCUCUUACAGCCCUUUUGUCUUGCCCAUUUACACAUGAUAAUCACCUGGUCUUUCAUGCCACAAAGGCCUCCUUGCCAGUGGCUCAGGCCUGUUUGUUGUUGGCUAGUGGUUCGGUUUUUUUCUUCUCUUUUCUGGCCCUGUCUCAAUGCAUACUGUAUUGGUUUACAUGCGUUGCUCUGCAUAAGGUUGGGUUAAUUGCAUUUUGCCCUCAAGUACUGUGUCAACAUGUGGGAAGAAAGAGUCCAAGGCGUAGGACAAUCAUAUGUUCAAAGUUUGCAAUAACCCGGCAGAAUACCUCCUUCAUGCCCUGCUGGUCUUGAAAGCUUUGGACCCAGUAAAGGAGCUUAUCAUCCGGCAGCAAACAGCCCUCACACUGCACUGGAUCCUGUGUUCCCAUUGUUGAUGUCCAUUAGGGGUACCUUUUCAAGGCCUGCCGCUGAUGCCUGAGCCUCUUUUGGCCGAAACACUGGAAGCAAUUAAAGGCAGUUUGGUGGCCAUUCUUCUGCAUUAUCAUUCCAUCUCAGUCCAUCUCCAUUUUAACUUCAGUGUUUUAUUCCCACAUUUUGAUCAUUCCCACACCCAGAAUGCUGUGUUUCGACAAGCAAGCAUUCCUGAGUGUGAAUAAUCUGGAACACAGGCAUCAUCACUGGCUCUUGGGGGGAGAUCGCAAAUAAUCCCCACGCUGAGUUAUCUGUAAAUGAUUUGCCAUCUUCAAUUGAGUAUUUCCGAAAGCAGCUUAUAAAAACCCACAGCUGGAUCCCCAGUGAAAGUCGAGAUUCUCUGGAGGCGGACGGUAGACAAGAGAACCCGAGACAAGGGGAGAGAGAUGCGGGGACAGUUGGGAUGCCAAGACGUCUCAGACUCAUCGGGAGGAACGAAGAGAUUGAUUGGUGCAGACCAACAGCCCUCGUUGCCAAGGAAUGCUUCAUCAAGAGUGAGUGAUGCGGGUACCUACAUGUAUAUGUUUACAACUUGGUGAAGAGAUGCAAUUGAAGUAAAGUACCUUGCCCAAGAACACAGUAUGAACCAGUGAGUAAGACAACAACUAUUGGACCACUAUGCC